GACCCGCGCCCUCGCGUCCGACGUCGUCCGUUUCUUCUUCCCUUCUCAAACGGACGCGCCGCCGCCGCUCUUCCUCGCAUCGUUUCUCCUUCCUCGUGUUUAAGGCAGUGGCCAAGGGAAGUCUCUCGCCUCUGCCCAUUCUUCUCCUCUUCCCCCUUCCUCGAGUGCCCUAGCCGACGCCCUUCUUCCCUCUGUGCUGCCACUGACCCCCUACAGUCGACGCGACUCACGGCCGAGCCCUAGCGCCGAUCGCGAUCUCCUCUGCCAACCACCGAGGAACCACGACGGUCGUCGCAGCCUGGGCUGAGCCCUAGCCGUCUCCACCACUGUCGUCUCCCUCACUGACUUCUCCCCUUUCAGGCGAUGCAGACGCCUCUUCCUCUUCUCUUUCUUGCCUGUGCCCUAGUCUCCAGCCGAUGUCUCCUUCUCGCUGACACCCGAGCACCACCGUUGACGAUCCUCUGCUUUCCCUCUGCCCUAGCUCCAACAACCGAUCUCAUCUGUACCCUUGCUGAGAUCUUAGAGUGAGGAGGAUUUCCAGCAGCUAUCUUUUCCUGGCAGCAACGAUCCUUGGCUGAGGAUCAAUAGAAGGGGGCUAUGAGGAAGAGUAGUGAGGAUUUGCUUUGUGGGGUUUUCUUGGUUUUGGUAGAAUUCCAUCCAGCAGCACUUUGUUUCCGCAGCGACUGUGAGUUUGAGGAUUCGGAUUAGGGAUGAGCACUUCGACAUAGAGGUUGAUUAGCUCGAUCUACAUUGGAGGCGGGU